ACUCAAAGGAAUUGACGGGGGCCCGCACAAGCGGUGGAUCAUGUGGUUUAAUUCGAAGCAACGCGCAGAACCUUACCCGGGUUUGACAUCCCACGACGACUGCAGAGAUGUAGUUUUUGUAGCAAUACAACGUGGAGACAGGUGCUGCAUGGCUGUCGUCAGCUCGUGUUGUGAAAUGUUGGGUUAAGUCCCGCAACGAGCGCAACCCCUGCCUUUGGUUGCCAUCAUUAAGUUGGGCACUCCAGAGGGACUGCCGUCGUUAAGACGGAGGAAGGUGGGGAUGACGUCAAGUCCUCAUGGCCUUUAUAUCCGGGGCGACACACGUGAUACAAUGGUAGGUACAGAGGGUAGCGAAGUGGUGACACGGAGCCAAUCUCAAAAAGCCUAUCUCAGUUCGGAUUGGAGUCUGCAAUUCGACUCCAUGAAGUUGGAAUCGCUAGUAAUCGCGGAUCAGAACGCCGCGGUGAAUACGUUCCCGGGCCUUGUACACACCGCCCGU
rnacentral:rRNA from 1 species